rnacentral:rRNA from 1 species
UACAGAGGUGGCAAGCGUUGUUCGGAAUUACUGGGCGUAAAGGGCGCGUAGGCGGCCUUGUAAGUCCUGUGUGAAAUCCCCCGGCUCAACUGGGGAACUGCACAGGAGACUGCUUGGCUUGAGUUCGGGAGAGGGAAGCGGAAUUCCAGGUGUAGCGGUGAAAUGCGUAGAUAUCUGGAGGAACACCGGUGGCGAAGGCGGCAUCCUGGACCGGCAUUGACGCUGAGGAGCGAAAGCCAGGGGAGCAAACGGG